AUUGAACGCUGGCGGCAGGCCUAACACAUGCAAGUCGAGCGAGCGGCGGACGGGUGAGUACUGUCUGGGAAACUGCCUGAUGGAGGGGGAUAACUACUGGAAACGGUAGCUACUACCGCAUACCCUCAGAUGUUCCCAGAUGGGAUUAGCGAGUAGGUGGGGUAACGGCUCACCUAGGCGACGAUCCCUAGCUGGUCUGAGAGGAUGACCAGCCACACUGGAACUGCGAAACGGUCCAGACUCCUACGGGAGGCAGAAGUGGGGAAUAUGGCACAAUGGGCGCAAGCCUGAUGCAGCCAUGCCGCGUGUGUGAAGAAGGCCUUCGGGUUGUAAAGCACUUUCAGCGGGGAGGCGGUACCCGCAGAAGAAGCACCGGCUAACUCCGUGCCAGCAGCCGCGGUAAUAC
rnacentral:rRNA from 1 species